AAGUCGUAACAAGGUUUCCGUAGGUGAACCUGCGGAAGGAUCAUUAUUGAAUAUGUGUUGUGGACAGUGGUCAAACACGGUCUGCAAUUUUCAUAAAAUCCUGUGAACUUGGAAAUUGUCUAUUGUUUGGCAGAGUGGGUGUCUACAUCUCCUGCCAGCAGUAUAUUUAAACCAUUUUGAUUUAAGUUGUCUGAGAAGAAAAAUUGCUUAAAACUUUCAACAACGGAUCUCUUGGUUCUC
rnacentral:misc_RNA from 1 species